rnacentral:rRNA from 1 species
UUGUAAUUGGAAUGAUGGUGACCUAAACCCAAAAAAAGAGUAACAAUUGGAGGGCAAGUCUGGUGCCAGCAGCCGCGGUAAUUCCAGCUCCAAUAGCGUAUAUUAAACUUGUUGCAGUUAAAAAGCUCGUAGUUGAAUUUUUGCGUGGUGUUAAUAUUGACUAAUGUCGAGAUUGCACUUCGCUUUUGGGAUUUAUCCCUUUUUACUUUGAGAAAAUUAGAGUGUUUCAAGCAGACUUUUGUCUUGAAUACUUCAGCAUGGAAUAAUAGAGUAGGACUUUGGUUCUAUUUUGUUGGUUUGUGAACCUUAGUAAUGGUUAAUAGGAACGGUUGGGGCAUUCGUAUUUAACUGUCAGAGGUGAAAUUCUUAGAUUUGUUAAAGACGAACUACUGCGAAAGCAUUUGCCAAGGACGUUUUCAUUAAUCAAGAACGAAAGUUAGGGGAUCGAAGACGAUCAGAUACCGUCGUAGUCCUAACCAUAAACUA